GACGAACGCUGGCGGCGUGCCUAACACAUGCAAGUCAACUUGACUGAAGGAGCAAUCUGACAGUAGAGUGGCGCAAGGGUGCGUAACGCGUAAGUAACUUGCCCCAAGGUAAGGAAUAACGUCGAGAAAUCGGCGCUAAUACCUCAUAAUGCAGCGGAUCCGCAUGGAUAUGUUGUUAAAGGUUUACCGCCUUGGGAUAGGCUUGCGUCUGAUUAGCUAGUUGGUGUGGUAACGGCACACCAAGGCUACGAUCAGUAACUGGUCUGAGAGGAUGAUCAGUCACACUGGAACUGAGACACGGUCCAGACUCCUACGGGAGGCAGCAGUGAGGAAUAUUGGGCAAUGCUCGAAAGAGUGACCCAGCAACGCCGCGUGGAGGAUGAAGGUAUUCUAUAUCGUAAACUCCUGUGAGAGCAGACGAAAGACAGAUUAUUAAUCUGGAUGACUGUAUGCUCAGAGGAAGCCCGGCUAACUACG
rnacentral:rRNA from 1 species